ACGGGUGAGGAAUACAUCGGAAUCUGCCUAUUUGUGGGGGAUAACGUAGGGAAACUUACGCUAAUACCGCAUACGUCCUACGGGAGAAAGUGGGGGACCGCAAGGCCUCACGCAGAUAGAUGAGCCGAUGUCGGAUUAGCUAGUUGGCGGGGUAAUGGCCCACCAAGGCGACGAUCCGUAGCUGGUCUGAGAGGAUGAUCAGCCACACUGGAACUGAGACACGGUCCAGACUCCUACGGGAGGCAGCAGUGGGGAAUAUUGGACAAUGGGCGCAAGCCUGAUCCAGCCAUGCCGCGUGGGUGAAGAAGGCCUUCGGGUUGUAAAGCCCUUUUGUCCGGAAAGAAAAGUUCUGGGUUAAUAACCCAGGAUCAUGACGGUACCGGAAGAAUAAGCACCGGCUAACUUCGUGCCAGCAGCCGCGGUAAUACGAAGGGUGCAAGCGUUACUCGGAAUUACUGGGCGUAAAGCGUGCGUAGGUGGUGGUUUAAGUCAGAUGUGAAAGCCCUGGGCUCAACCUGGGAACUGCAUUUGAUACUGGAUCACUAGAGUGCGGUAGAGGAUAGUGGAAUUCCCGGUGU
rnacentral:rRNA from 1 species